rnacentral:rRNA from 1 species
AGUCGAACGGAGUAGAAAUACUUAGUGGCGGACGGGUGAGUAACGCGUGAGAAUCUACCUUCAGGACGGAGACAACAGUUGGAAACGACUGCUAACCCCCGAUGAACCGAAAGGGCAAAUAUUUAUAGCCUGAAGAAGAGCUCGCGUCCGAUUAGCUAGUUGGAGAGGUAAAAGCUCACCAAGGCGACGAUCGGUAGCUGGUCUGAGAGGACGAUCAGCCACACUGGGACUGAGACACGGCCCAGACUCCUACGGGAGGCAGCAGUGGGGAAUUUUCCGCAAUGGGCGAAAGCCUGACGGAGCAAGACCGCGUGGGGGAAGAAGGCUCUUGGGUUGUAAACCCCUUUUCUCUGGGAAGAAAGUUGUGAAAGCAGCCUGACGGUACCAGAGGAAUCAGCAUCGGCUAACUCCGUGCCAGCAGCCGCGGUAAGACGGAGGAUGCAAGCGUUAUCCGGAAUGAUUGGGCGUAAAGCGUCCGCAGGUGGCAGUUCAAGUCUGCUGUCAAAGACCGGGGCUUAACCUCGGAAAGGCAGUGGAAACUGAACAGCUAGAGUAUGGUAGGGGCAAAGGGAAUUCCUGGUGUAGCGGUGAAAUGCGUAGAGAUCAGGAAGAACAUCGGUGGCGAAGGCGCUUUGCUGGACCAUAACUGACACUCAGGGACGAAAGCUAGGGGAGCGAAUGGGAUUAGAUACCCCAGUAGUCCUAGCCGUAAACGAUGGAUACUAGGUGUUGUCUGUAUCGACCCGGACAGUGCCGUAGCUAACGCGUUAAGUAUCCCGCCUGGGGAGUACGCACGCAAGUGUGAAACUCAAAGGAAUUGACGGGGGCCCGCACAAGCGGUGGAGUAUGUGGUUUAAUUCGAUGCAACGCGAAGAACCUUACCAGGACUUGACAUGUCGCGAAUCCUCUGGAAACAGAGGAGUGCCUUAGGGAGCGCGAACACAGGUGGUGCAUGGCUGUCGUCAGCCCGUGUCGUGAGAUGUUGGGUUAAGUCCCGCAACGAGCGCAACCCUCGUGUUUAGUUGCCAUCAUUAAGUUGGGCACUCUAAACAGACUGCCGGUGACAAACCGGAGGAAGGUGGGGAUGACGUCAAGUCAGCAUGCCCCUUACGUCCUGGGCUACACACGUACUACAAUGGUAGGGACAGAGGGCAGCCAACCCGCGAGGGCGAGCUAAUCCCGUAAACCCUGCCUCAGUUCAGAUUGCAGGCUGCAACUCGCCUGCAUGAAGGCGGAAUCGCUAGUAAUCGCAGGUCAGCAUACUGCGGUGAAUCCGUUCCCGGGCCUUGUACACACCGCCCGUCACACCAUGGAAGUUGGCCACGCCCGAAGUCAUUACUCUAACCUUUCGAGGAGGAGGAUGCCGAAGG